UGAGCCGGCCAGGCGGCCGCGUCCGCCGGCAUCGCUCGCGAGGCCGACGGCCGAGGAACGUCCGGGCUCCACAGGGCAGGGUGGUGGGUAACGCCCACCCGGGGUGACCCGCGGGACAGUGCCACAGAGAACAGACCGCCGCCGACGCUCUCGGGCGCCGGCGGUAAGGGUGAAACGGUGGGGUAAGAGCCCACCAGCGUGCCGGGCGACCGGCGCGGCUAGGUAAACCCCACCCGGAGCAAGGCCAGACAGGGAGCGAGCUGCCCGCUCGAUGCUCCCGGGUAGGCCGCUGGAGGCGCACGGCAACGUGCGUCGUAGAUGGAUGGUCGCCACCGCGGCGCCGGCGACGGCGCCGCGGGACAGAACCCGGCGUACCGGCCGGCUCAUCCC
rfam:Micrococcales bacterium 73-15 SCNpilot_expt_1000_bf_scaffold_858, whole genome shotgun sequence.